GCCGCCCCCGCCCGCCGCGUCCCCUGGAAGCGGGGGAGCCGCCGGAGGAGCCUUCGCCCUCCAUCCUAUCUCCCCUUCCCGUUCCCUCUCCCCACCCGAGGCUACGCUCUCUCCUGUCCCCCGGGCGCCGCCGCCUGCUCUGGACCCCUCUCCCCAGGGCAUCCCUCUCCUGUCUCGCGACGCCCAGUGGAGCUUCAGCUGGGUCCCGGACAUCCAGGGCGGUAGUUCAGCUUUCUGCAUCUCACCUCGCAGCUGAUUUGUUUUUAAUCAAUACCAUGAUUUCUAUGGUCGUGAAAGAGUACCAACAGACUCGUCACAGCAACUUUCGGCUGAUCAUCAACGUCAGAGUAACGUACCCAUGGUUAAAGGAACCCCCAAGUCAAGCCCAAAUCUGAAUACCCUAAUGGUACAGUGACCCAGAUCUAAACUAGAGAGAUCACACAGGAUGGUCCCAGGCAAGAUACAUCAGCUGCUGAGAGUUAAGCAGGACUCUGGGAUCUUGUUCCCAAUUCUGCCACCUCUAACACAGCUUAAACACCUGCUUCAGUGUGACUCCAUUUUUUUCCUUUUAGAAGGGAUCUUAACAUUUCCCAUUCCCCUGUGGGCUCUCUUCUUCAGAAUGCAGAAUCAGAUUCUCAGACAGAAAAUGGCAUACAAGUAUUACUGAGCUGAAACAAAGGCUUGCAAAUUAGUGACGGCUGGAACUACACUUUAAAGCUGCGUGUGCCAAGGACUCUCAGUGAUGGAAAAACCCAACAACAUAAGAAAAACAUUUGAUGGGAAUAGGAAAGGACCCGGAGGGAAGCAGAGUAGAAAAGUAUGAAGUAGGAAGAGCCUGAAAUGAUACCUUCAUGGCACGAUCCUCCUCAGUCCAUCCUUGAAGCCCAGCUCCUCCUCUUCCCUGUCUCUGCUGUGUUUCCUGUUCCCUCUUCCUCAGUUCCAGCCACUACAAUUUUAGCAGACCCAGACCCACCAGCUCAGCAAUGCUUCCUUGCACAGGGACAUCAUGGUGUUCCCCAUCCCCGACAGUGCCUCUCACCAGCUGGGGACUCGCCUGUGACCAGGUCCGGGAGUGGGACCAUUUCCUUCCGGCUCAGCAGCCAGCGCUGAAAGAAGAGGACAUACCCAUACUACGACUAUAGGUUGUGACAAACACUCGUCAAUACUUGUGAAAAGCUCAUGAUACAACACAGUUAAUACAAAGUAUGUGUAUUCAAAGCUCCUACCCCCUCAAAUAUCUCAGUUUCAGUCUUGCCUGACUUUUUAGAAGCUGCAAUAAAUCCCAUAAAGCUUC